rnacentral:rRNA from 1 species
GAUGAACGCUGGCGGCGUGCCUAAUACAUGCAAGUCGAGCGAACAGACGAGGAGCUUGCUCCUCUGACGUUAGCGGCGGACGGGUGAGUAACACGUGGAGAACCUACCUAUAAGACUGGGAUAACUUCGGGAAACCGGAGCUAAUACCGGAUAAUAUAUUGAACCGCAUGGUUCAAUAGUGAAAGACGGUUUUGCUGUCACUUAUAGAUGGAUCCGCGCCGCAUUAGCUAGUUGGUAAGGUAACGGCUUACCAAGGCGACGAUGCGUAGCCGACCUGAGAGGGUGAUCGGCCACACUGGAAAUGGGACACGGGACAGACUCCUACGGGAGGCAGCAGUAGGGAAUCCUCCGCAAUGGGCGAAAGCCUGACGGAGCCACGCCGAGUGAGUGAUGAAGGUCUUCGGAUCGUAAAACUCUGUUAUUCGGGAAGAACAAAUGUGUAAGUAACUAUGCACGUCUUGACGGUACCUAAUCAGAAAGCCACGGCUAACUACGUG